AUACCAUGAUGUGGGCACUUCCUUAACAACUCUUUAAAUCUUUCCCAUACAUCAUGCAACGAUUCCCCUUCUGUCUGGUAAAAAUUGUUAAUUUCCCCUCUCAACUU